rnacentral:rRNA from 1 species
AUACGGAGGUUGCGAGCGUUAAUCGGAAUUACUGGGCGUAAAGGGUGCGUAGGCGGCUUGAUAAGUCGGAUGUGAAAGCCCCGGGCUUAACCUGGGAAUUGCAUUCGAUACUGUCAGGCUAGAGUAUGUCAGAGGUUGGCGGAAUUCCUGGUGUAGCGGUGAAAUGCGUAGAUAUCAGGAGGAACACCAGUGGCGAAGGCGGCUAACUGGGACAAUACUGACGCUGAGGCACGAAAGCGUGGGGAGCAAACAGGAUUAGAAACCCUAGUAGUCC